rnacentral:rRNA from 1 species
GUACACGCUGUGACUAGCAUAUCAAUAAGGCGGAGGAAAAGAAACUAACAAGGAUUCCCCUAGUAACGGCGAGUGAAGCGGGAAGAGCUCAAAUUUGAAAUCUUAAAGGGUUUCCCUUUACGAAUUGUAGUUUAAAGAAGUGUUUUCUGUUGAGGUUUUGGUAAAAGUUCUUGGAAUAGGACAUCAUAGAGGGUGAGAAUCCCGUAUUUGACCUUUACUUUCAACUUUGUGAUACACUUUCAAAGAGUCGGAUUGUUUGGGAAUGCAGUCCAAAAUGGGUGGUAAAUUUCAUCUAAAGCUAAAUAUUGGCGAGAGACCGAUAGCGAACAAGUACCGUGAGGGAAAGAUGAAAAGAACUUUGAAAAGAGAGUUAAACAGUACGUGAAAUUGUCAAAAGGGAAGCGUUUGACACCAGUGUUGUUUUUCUGAAAAUCAAUUAAAGAACUGUUUAUGCUAAGUUGUUUAGACUUUAUCAGCUAACUGUUUAGUUUUGAGCCUUUCUUUAAUGCACUUUUCAGUUAACAAGUCAACAUCAAUUUCUUUUGCUGUAAAAAAGCUUGAGGAAGGUGGCUUGAGAUUCGUCUUAAGUGUUUAUAGCCUCUUGCCUAUGCAGUCGGAGAGAUUGAGGUCUGCAGCGUAGAUCCUUCGGGGCUAAAUGCAUUUGUGCUAAGUUAUAGCAUUUUAUAGACAACUUGUUGACUAUGAUCUGUCUUGUAGCUUACUCGCUUAUGUUAUUUUACCUACGCUUAGGAUGUUGACAGCAGUAUAGACUGU